UACGUAGGGGGCAAGCGUUGUCCGGAAUCAUUGGGCGUAAAGCGCGUGUAGGCGGUCCGGUAAGUCCGCUGUGAAAGUCGGGGGCUCAACCCUCGGAUGCCGGUGGAUACUGCCGGGCUAGAGUCCGGAAGAGGCGAGUGGAAUUCCUGGUGUAGCGGUGGAAUGCGCAGAUAUCAGGAGGAACACCAAUAGCGAAGGCAGCUCGCUGGGACGGUACUGACGCUAAGGCGCGAAAGCGUGGGGAGCGAACGAGG
rnacentral:rRNA from 1 species